GAUGAAGAACGUAGCGAAAUGCGAUAAGUAAUGCGAAUUGCAGAAUUACCGUGAGUCAUCGAAUCUUUGAACGCACAUUGCGCCCACUGGUAUUCCGGUGGGCAUGCCUGUUCGAGCGUCAUUAUCCUCCCUCAAACCCCGGGUUUGGUGUUGGACCCAAGUUGUGUGAACAACUGGUCUCAAAGACAAUGACGGCGUCCGUGGGACCCUCGGUGCAACGAGCUUUUAGGAGCACGCAUCGAGUUGCAAGGACCUUCCGGGCCGGUCUCCUUUACCAUUUUACAAGGUUGACCUCGGAUCAGGUAGGAAUACCCGCUGAACUUAAGCAUAUCAAUAAGCGGAGGA
rnacentral:misc_RNA from 1 species